UUAGUAUGACCCAUUUUGUUCGCCAGGUCGAUCCUUCGAGUACGGUCCAUAUGAGCGUCCUUCAAAUUUUGACAGGUUUGGAAGAAACCAUCGUGUGCAAGAUUUCGAAUAUGAAGUCUAUAAUGCUAAUUUACAAAGCACUUUCUACUUGCAAAGUAAGUAUAAACAGAAGCAAACGUACACACUCUAUGCCGUCACUGCAUCAGUGGACUUGACACCUUUCAGCAUUGCAUCCGUCGGCUUAGGAGGAGCACUUGCAUCCGAGACCUCGCUGUCCCUUCCCGUAUCCCGGCUGCUGCUCGUGAACGUGCCGGUGCCGGUGCUNNNNNN
rnacentral:lncRNA from 1 species